rnacentral:piRNA from 1 species
UUAUAUUUUUCGAGACAGCUUUGUAGACC